AGAAUAAAAAAUCGAGGCGUCGCUCUUUUUUUUAAGGGUGAUCGCGUCGGAAUUGAGCCGUCUUUCAAAUGUUAAUUCAUGUCAAAGUGGCUUGAAAUUCAUCCAUCCGGUACGAUUAAGCGUAUUUAAGAUCAAUUUUGAUUGAGAACGCGCGAUGACGUACCAUCUCAUGUAGUACGAUUGACUUGGCGUCGUCAGGAUCAUUCGUAUACGAUACUCAAC
rnacentral:misc_RNA from 1 species